GUCUACGGCCAUGCCACCCUGAACAAGCUCGAUCCCGUCUGAUCUCGAAAACUAAGCAGGAUCAGACCUGGUUAGUAUUUGGAUGGGAGACCACCUAGGAAGACCAGGUGCUGCAGGCA
rnacentral:rRNA from 1 species